GAUGAAUGCUGGCGGCGUGCCUAACACAUGCAAGUCGAGCGGCAGCGAGGGGUGCUUGCACCCUGUCGGCGAGCGGCGAACGGCUGAGUAACGCGUAGGAAUUUGCCCCAAAGUGAGGAAUAACUGCCCGAAAGGGUAGCUAAUGCCGCAUAUGGUCUUCGGAUUAAAGGAUUUAUCCGCUUUGGGAGAAGCCUGCGUUGGAUUAGGUUGUUGGUAGGGUAAUGGCCUACCAAGCCGACGAUCCAUAGCUGGUCUGAGAGGAUGAUCAGCCAGACUGGAACUGAGACACGGUCCAGACUCCUACGGGAGGCAGCAGUGAGGAAUCUUCCACAAUGGGCGAAAGCCUGAUGGAGCAACGCCGCGUGAAGGAUGAAGGCCUUCGGGUUGCAAACUUCUUUUAUGAGUGAAGAAUAUGACGGUAACUCAUGAAUAAGCACCGGCUAACUACGUG
rnacentral:rRNA from 1 species